rnacentral:rRNA from 1 species
GACGAACGCUGGCGGCGUGCUUAACACAUGCAAGUCGAGCGAGUUGAUUCCCUUCGGGGAUGAAGCUAGCGGCGGACGGGUGAGUAACACGUGGGCAACCUGCCUUAUAGAGGGGGAUAGCCUUCCGAAAGGAAGAUUAAUACCGCAUAACAUCAGAUUAUCGCAUGGUAGACUGAUCAAAGGAGCAAUCCGCCAUAAGAUGGGCCCGCGUCGCAUUAGCUAGUUGGUGAGGUAACGGCUCACCAAGGCGACGAUGCGUAGCCAACCUGAGAGGGUGAUCGGCCACAUUGGGACUGAGACACGGCCCAGACUCCUACGGGAGGCAGCAGUGGGGAAUAUUGCACAAUGGGGGAAACCCUGAUGCAGCAACGCCGCGUGAGUGAUGAAGGCCUUCGGGUUGUAAAGCUCUUUGAUCAGGGACGAUAAUGACGGUACCUGAAGAACAAGCCACGGCUAACUACGUGCCAGCCGCCGCCGUAAUAC